GAUGAACGCUGGCGGCGUGCCUAAUACAUGCAAGUCGAGCGAACGGACGAGAAGCUUGCUUUUCUGAUGUUAGCGGCGGACGGGUGAGUAACACGUGGAUAACCUACCUAUAAGACUGGGAUGACUUCGGGAAACCGGAGCUAAUACCGGAUAAUAUUUUGAACCGCAUGGUUCAAAAGUGAAAGACGGUCUUGCUGUCACUUAUAGAUGGAUCCGCGCUGCAUUAGCUAGUUGGUAAGGUAACGGCUUACCAAGGCAACGAUGCAUAGCCGACCUGAGAGGGUGAUCGGCCACACUGGAACUGAGACACGGUCCAGACUCCUACGGGAGGCAGCAGUAGGGAAUCUUCCGCAAUGGGCGAAAGCCUGACGGAGCAACGCCGCGUGAGUGAUGAAGGUCUUCGGAUCGUAAAACCCUGUUAUUAGGGAAGAACAUAUGUGUAAGUAACUGUGCACAUCUUGACGGUACCUAAUCAGAAAGCCACGGCUAACUACGUG
rnacentral:rRNA from 1 species